rnacentral:lncRNA from 10 species
GUGAUCUCAGCUUACUGCAGCCUCCACCUCCCGGGUUCAAGCAAUCCUUCCACCUCAGCCUCCCAAAGCACUGGGAGGGCAGGCGUGAGCCCCUGUGCUCAGCCUUCUCUCGCUCUUGCUCUUCAAGACUUGUGUGCUUUCUAAACACGAGCCUCACAACCACCAGCACCCACGUUGAGAGCUUUGGGGGGCAGCUUCGCGGCUCCCAGAUAGGCCACCCCAGGAGGCCCAACAAGAUGCCUUAUGCGUGGUAAGCCUUCAUUCGGUUUUUCGAACGCGGUGGUCUCAACCUUGCCCUUGACCUGCCCCAUCUGUAAACCACCCUCUCCCACGUGACUCCAGCCUAGACCUCCGCUGCAAGCAAAACAUCAUAUCCACCUGUCUAUGACACUCUACUUGGGGACUCCACUGUGACACACCCACAGCCAAACUCCUGACCCUUUCUCCAAACAGGUCCAUUCCCCAGGAUCCCCCCCUCAAGCCAGAGAGAGACCCUGGGGGCCCCCUUGGGGUGUCUCUCUCCCUUCCAGUCAACCAGGUACAACUCCCAGUUCCAUUUUGCCUUCCAGCACACUCCCCUUCCUGCUCCCUGCACCCCAGCCCUGUCUGAUCUCACCAAGACAUCUGCCCUCCAUGCUCACCCACUCCCAUCUCCAUGAGGGCAGAUCAGAUCUCACAUCUAGCCAUGUGUCUCCUCCCGUAACAUCCUCCAGGGAUCUCCAAUGCCCUUAGAGGAAGCCUGAACUCUUCCACAGGGUCCCACCCCCGACCCCGCCCACCUCCCAGGAGCCUUUCCUUGCACUCUGGUCCAGAUACUCCAAC